rnacentral:rRNA from 1 species
UACGUAGGGUGCAAGCGUUGUCCGGAAUUAUUGGGCGUAAAGAGCUCGUAGGCGGUUUGUCGCGUCUGGUGUGAAAACUCGAGGCUCAACCUCGAGAUGUCGCCGGAAACCAGUCGGCUAGAGUCCGGAAGAGGAGAGUGGAAUUCCUGGUGUAGCGGUGAAAUGCGCAGAUAUCAGGAAGAACACCUAUAGCGAAAGCAGCUCUCUGGGACGGUACUGACGCUGAGACGCGAAAGCGUGGGGAGCGAACAGG